rnacentral:rRNA from 1 species
UACGUAGGGGACAAGCGUUGUCCGGAAUUAUUGGGCGUAAAGCGCACGUAGGCGGCAUUGCAAGUCCCAUGUGAAAUCCCACGGCUUAACCGUGGAAGUGCAUGGGAAACUGCAGUGCUUGAGUACUUAAGAGGAUCGCGGAAUUCCCGGUGUAGAGGUGAAAUUCGUAGAUAUCGGGAGGAACACCAGUGGCGAAGGCGGCGAUCUGGGAAGAUACUGACGCUGAGGUGCGAAAGCGUGGGGAGCAAACAGG